rnacentral:rRNA from 1 species
GAGCUUGCUCCCGGAUGUUAGCGGCGGACGGGUGAGUAACACGUGGGUAACCUGCCUGUAAGACUGGGAUAACUCCGGGAAACCGGAGCUAAUACCGGAUAGUUCCUUGAACCGCAUGGUUCAAGGAUGAAAGACGGUUUCGGCUGUCACUUACAGAUGGACCCGCGGCGCAUUAGCUAGUUGGUGAGGUAACGGCUCACCAAGGCGACGAUGCGUAGCCGACCUGAGAGGGUGAUCGGCCACACUGGGACUGAGACACGGCCCAGACUCCUACGGGAGGCAGCAGUAGGGAAUCUUCCGCAAUGGACGAAAGUCUGACGGAGCAACGCCGCGUGAGUGAUGAAGGUUUUCGGAUCGUAAAGCUCUGUUGUUAGGGAAGAACAAGUGCAAGAGUAACUGGUUGCACCUUGACGGUACCUAACCAGAAAGCCACGGCUAACUACGUGCCAGCAGCCGCGGUAAUACGUAGGUGGCAAGCGUUGUCCGGAAUUAUUGGGCGUAAAGGGCUCGCAGGCGGUUUCUUAAGUCUGAUGUGAAAGCCCCCGGCUCAACCGGGGAGGGUCAUUGGAAACUGUGAAACUUGAGUGCAGAAGAGGAGAG